rnacentral:rRNA from 1 species
UACGUAGGGGGCAAGCGUUGUCCGGAAUUAUUGGGCGUAAAGAGCGUGUAGGCGGUUCGGUAAGUCGGCUGUGAAAGUCCAGGGCUCAACCCUGGGAUGCCGGUCGAUACUGCCGGACUAGAGUUCGGAAGAGGCGAGUGGAAUUCCCGGUGUAGCGGUGAAAUGCGCAGAUAUCGGGAGGAACACCUAUGGCGAAGGCAGCUCGCUGGGACGUUACUGACGCUGAGACGCGAAAGCUAGGGGAGCAAACGGG